AUGGCUAAGAUAAAUGACGAUGGUGUUGAAAAACAGCAUGAGGAAGAAGAAAUGACCCAACAGCUUGUAAAUGGUAAAGUAUCCUGUGAACAACCUUCUGAGGGCAGUGAAGCACAAACUACGGACAGUGAUGACAUAAUGACACCUGUGUUUCAGAAAUGUCCCAAGGCAGUUUCAGAGAAGAUGUGCAUUGGAAUUGUCUCCCUGGCCUUCUACCCAGAGGCUGAAGUGAUGUCUGAUGAGAAUAUAAAACAGGUGUAUGUGGAGUACAAAUUCUAUGAUGUACCUUUGUCAGAGACAGAGACUCCAGUAUCCCUGAGGAAACCAAGGCCAGGAGAUAGACCUUAGCAAAGUGAUAGACCUGGACCCACUGGAGCAACCAUGCUGAACAGACAAGAUUCUGAGCAAGGAUGUUUAAAGUUUACAGUAGUAAGUGAUCCUAGGGAUGAAGAAAAGAACGAAUGUGAUGAUGUAGGAUAUGCUUAUCUUGAACUGUGGCAGAUCCUGGAAUCAGGAAGAGAUAUUCUAGAGCAAGAACUAGACAUUGUUAGCCCUGAAGAUCAGGCUACCCCAAUAGGAAGGCUGAAGGUUUCCCUUCAAGCAGCUGCUGCCCUCCAUGCUAUUUACAAGGAGAUGACUGAGGACUUGUUUUCAUGAAGGAACAAGUGCUAUUCCAUUCUAAAAUCUGAGGGAAACUUAUAGUAAAAAGACUCUUAUAAAGUAACUUGGUAUACCAUG